ACAUCGAGCACUGCAAGUUUCGUCCAGGGCUGCUGGUGGACAUUAUGGACUCUCUCGCUGUUAAGGUCAACUGCAUGACAGAGUACGAGCGCCAUGCGUGCCUCAUGAUGGAUGAGAUGCAGAUCACCCCAAGCCUCAUAUAUGAUCCUUCGGCUGACGCAGUACUGGGCAGACCUACGAUUCCCUUGGCAGAUGGCAGCCUCCCUGCAGACACCUUGGCUACCCAUGGCCUCGUAUUUAUGCUGGGUGGUGUUACUACCAGGUGGAAGCAGGUCAUUGGGUACCAUUUGACUGGAAAUUGUUUUCAUGCACUCUCUGUCAAGCAAGAACUCUUGAAAAUGAUAAGAGCAUGUGAAGACAUUGGCCUUAAAAUAGAUGCUGUUGUUUCAGA